GACGAACGCUGGCGGCGUGCCUAACACAUGCAAGUCGAACGAGGUCCAUGUGGUGGCAACACCACGGAAGACCUAGUGGCGAACGGGUGAGUAACACGUGAGGAACCUGCCCCGAAGACCGGGAUAACCCUCCGAAAGGAGAGCUAAUACCGGAUGCCCCCACCGGAUCGCAUGAUCUGGUGAGGAAAUGGAUUCCGCUUCGGGAGGGCCUCGCGGCCUAUCAGCUAGUUGGUGGGUAACGGCCCACCAAGGCAUCGACGGGUAGCUGGUCUGAGGGGACGAUCAGCCACACUGGGACUGAGACACGGCCCAGGCUCCUACGGGAGGCAGCAGUGGGGAAUCUUGCGCAAUGGGCGAAAGCCUGACGCAGCAACGCCGCGUGGGGGAUGAAGGCUCUCGGGUUGUAAACCCCUUUCAGCAGGGACGAAUCAAGACGGUACCUGCAGAAGAAGCCCCGGCUAACUACGUGCCAGCAGCCGCCGUAAUAC
rnacentral:rRNA from 1 species